rnacentral:tRNA from 1 species
GGAGGGGACAGCUCAGUGGCAGAGCGCAUGUUUAGCAUGCACAAAGUCCUGGGUUCAAUCCCCAGUCCCUCUG